UUAACUGAAACCAAAAAGAGGUAUAUUAUUGUUAAUAAUAAAAUUGAAUUUAAAAAUUCCUGUUAAA
rnacentral:tRNA from 1 species